rnacentral:lncRNA from 1 species
UCUGUCCUUUUUUAUUUUGCUUGGCUUGUCAUUUCAUACACAAAGUAGUAGCUUUCAUAAAAAGCUGCAGUGGCAGCUUUCAUUAAAAGCUGCACUAUUUGUUGUCUUGGGUCACACUUAAAAGCUGUGAUUUGGGAUUUAUCUGCCUUAAGAUAUUAUUCAGUGCCUAUCUUAUUUCUUGGGUCGCAAUAUUUUACAAUUUGAGAUAUUAUACUGUGAAUUGAGAAUCAUUUAAACACAUAUCAGUGAAAUGGCAGGAAUGGAGGACAACAAGGACAAGAACUUUGAAAUGGCAGAAACUGAGGGAAAUGGAGAAACCCACAGCUGAAGACGCUUUAACAGAGGACAGCUCAGAAAUGACUAUUAAACAAUUGUAAAAGAAUUUUUAGUAGAUAGAAAAUCUAAUGCUCAAAGAACUGCUGUGAUUUACCGCAAUAUAAAACAGAGCGAAGCGUGAAUUGAUAAAAUAUGUGUUGGUCUCAUUACGAUUCAAGCUGAACAGAAAGAGGCAAUGAAUAUUAAUAACAACAGAUGGGAGCAAUAUCUCAGCAACUUCAGCAGUCUGAAGACAGGAUAGACCACAAGGCUAGUGGUAAUUGCUUGGCGGAAUUGAUGGUCAGAUCAAUAAGAUAUUCAAUGUUGUGGUGAGACGAAUUGACAAGCUGAUAACAACUGAGGAAGGAGACACAGUUCAAUUUAAAAGUGUAUUUGAACAGCAGGGUACCUUCCAACAACUGGCAUCUGUUGUAAAUGAAUUAGCGGACAAUCGAAAUAAAGAAGUUAAAAUUCCUGCAAUGGACACAUCAUCUAAA